rnacentral:ncRNA from 1 species
AGGAGCCGGAUGAACGGAAACGUUCAUGUCCGGUUUUGUAGCCGAGUCGGGAUGGCGACAUCCCGGCUUAGGCAGC